UUACGCCUAUAUCAGGGUGAAACACAGGCUCACAUAUGAUCACCGAAGUUAAGCAACGUCGGUCCUAGUCGGUACCUAAAUGUGUGACCGUUUGGGAAUACAAGAUGUU